GCCGGGCUGGAUCGGGUGAUCAGCAUUCGGCACGUCGACAACGUGCGGUCGGAGCGGGUCAUGCAGAAACUCGGGUUCGUGCACGAGUUCGACACC
rnacentral:tRNA from 1 species